rnacentral:rRNA from 1 species
GGAGAAAAGCAGGGGAUCGCAAGACCUUGCGCUCAUUGAGCGGCCGAUGCCUGAUUAGCUAGUUGGUGAGGUAAAGGCUUACCAAGGCGACGAUCAGUAGCUGGUCUGAGAGGACGACCAGCCACACUGGGACUGAGACACGGCCCAGACUCCUACGGGAGGCAGCAGUGGGGAAUUUUGGACAAUGGGGGAAACCCUGAUCCAGCCAUGCCGCGUGAGUGAAGAAGGCCUUCGGGUUGUAAAGCUCUUUCAGCCGGAACGAAACGGUCACGGCUAAUACCUGUGACUACUGACGGUACCGGAAGAAGAAGCACCGGCUAACUACGUGCCAGCAGCCGCGGUAAUACGUAGGGUGCGAGCGUUAAUCGGAAUUACUGGGCAUAAAGCGUGCGCAGGCGGUUUUGUAAGUCAGAAGGGAAAUCCCCGGGCUUAACCUGGGAACUGCGUUUAAAAUAGAAAGCUAGAAGGGC